AUAGCCUGCACUCCUGUGGCCUGGGCCGACGGCAGCACUUGAAGUGAAUCGAUUGCUGCACUAGUAAAUUCAAUACAGCGCUGCACCUAAAAACUUAAGGCACGGCAGGCCUCCGAGGAGGAAGACCAUUACGCACUCACUUGCAAAUGUCUUAGUCCUUCAGAGUUCAGCUCUGAGUCGAUGUCUUGGAUAUCGAGGCUUUUAGAUGUCAUACUCAUGACAGGAGGAGCAGAAAAUUAGCAAGUGCCACUGGCACUUUUGCAGCUCAAAUCACGUCACAUGCUUUCAGAGAAAUGAUUGAUCAAAGCCGACCGUCAGCUCUAUCAGUCUGGACAGCCAUGAAUCGAAGGUCACCUGUGUUUUUCUCCAGAGCUAUUUGAUUGGCAUCAUGUGUAUGAAUAGAGAUAACUUAAUCUGGUUUGCUCAAUCUCAUGGUGCAUGUGUAUGUUUAUAUAUGUGUGUGUUGUCACAUGAUUAAUGUGGUGUAAGCUGCACCAUGCCCUUUAUCCUCUGUCCUCCUGGUGGCCUCUCUUCUUCUCUUGUUUUUUUUUUUUUUGCUGUUUCACUCACUUUAUCAUUCGGUCUCAUUUCUUUUGCCUUGAACACUCUCUUGUCCACCUUUUUUUUUCACUUUCACUCUCCUAUGAAAGAAAAGUCACAAAUGAGCUCUCUAGAUCUCAAUUGAUGUUUCUGGACAAUAAUGAGAUUUAAUGGAAAGCAAAUGGAGUCUUUCCUCAAGAAGGAAUGUUACAUGCUUCCAAAUUUCAGAUGAGAUCUAAACAAUAUCACAACUGUG